ACCCAGGUUCCAAGCACCCUAAGCUUUAGCCUCCACCCCUCCCCUGACCAAAUUCACCUGAUGGGACAUGUUGGCACCAGCUUGCCUGUCUCCAGGGGAAGGGCAGAGCCUACUCACUUGUGAAGAGCGACAGGGAAGGGGAGUCAAUAAUAGUGAACUUGGCUCCAGGGUCGUUCCGUCGCCACUGGAAGAGAGAGGCACCUCAAAGUAGUACCUCUGGGAGGCCACCAGGCUGGCAGGAGGGAGCAAAGACACAGAAGGAGCUUCACUUUUAAUGCUGGCCUGGAGUCUCCACGCUGCCACUUACUCACAGUGUGACCUCAGCAUUCUCUUCUGUAAGACGGCCGUAAGAACAGUACACACUUCACAGGAGAAUCAGGAGAAUCCACAGAAAUACAGAUCUUCCUCAACUUAGGAUAGGGUUAUGUUCUAAUAAACUU